rnacentral:rRNA from 1 species
CCUACGUGUGGCUGCAGUGAGGAAUAUUGGUCAAUGGGCUUACGCCUGAACCAGCCAAGUCGCGUGAGGGAAGACUGCCCUAUGGGUUGUAAACCUCUUUUGUCAGGUAGCAACGCCGGCUACGUGUAGCCGGACUGAGAGUACCUGAAGAAAAAGCAUCGGCUAACUCCGUGCCAGCAGCCGCGGUAAUACGGAGGAUGCGAGCGGUAUCCGGAUUUAAUGGGUUUAAAGGGUGCGUAGGCGGAAUGCCAAGUCAGCGGUAAAAUCGCGGGGCUCAACCUCGCGCCGCCGUUGAACCUGGCGUUCUUGAGUGGGCGAGAAGUAUGCGGAAUGCGUGGUGUAGCGGGGAAAUGCAUAGAUAUCACGCAGAACUCCGAUUGCGAAGGCAGCAUACCGGCGCCCAACUGACACUGAGGCUCGAAAGUGUGGGUAUCAAACAGGAUUAGAUACCCUAGUAGUC